GAUGAACGCUGACAGAAUGCUUAACACAUGCAAGUCGAUGGGGAAGUGGUGCUUGCACCAUGGCAACCAUGGCGGACGGGUGAGUAACGCGUAAGGGACUUACCUGCAGGACUGGGAUAACAGGGGGAAACUCCUGACAAGACCGGAUAAUGUCAUGGAGCUGCAUGGCUUUAUGUUGAAAGGAGACGCCUGCGGAGAGCCUUGCGUCCUAUUAGCUAGUUGGUGAGGUAAUGGCUCACCAAGGCGAAGAUAGGUAGCCGGCCUGAGAGGGUGGACGGCCACAAGGGGACUGAGAUACGGCCCUUACUCCUACGGGAGGCAGCAGUGGGGAAUAUUGGACAAUGGGGGCAACCCUGAUCCAGCAAUUCUGUGUGCACGAAGAAGGUUUUCGGAUUGUAAAGUGCUUUCAGCAGGGAAGAAGUAAGUGACGGUACCUGCAGAAGAAGCGACGGCUAAAUACGUG
rnacentral:rRNA from 1 species